UACGUAGGGUCCGAGCGUUGUCCGGAAUUACUGGGCGUAAAGGGCGUGUAGGCGGCCACCGCAAGUCGACUGUGAAAUCUCCGGGCUUAACUCGGAAAGGUCAGCCGAUACUGCGGGGCUAGAGUGCAGAAGGGGCAACUGGAAUUCUCGGUGUAGCGGUGAAAUGCGUAGAUAUCGAGAGGAACACCUGCGGCGAAGGCGGGUUGCUGGGCUGACACUGACGCUGAAGCGCGAAAGCUAGGGGAGCGAACGGG
rnacentral:rRNA from 1 species